GCGGUGGUAGCUCAAAUGGCAGAGCACCCAUAGCUUGGGAGGUUGCCGGUUCGAGUCCGGUUCACCACA
rnacentral:tRNA from 1 species